UACGGAGGGUGCAAGCGUUGUCCGGAAUCACUGGGCGUAAAGGGCGCGUAGGCGGCCCGGUAAGUAGGGGGUGAAAUCCUGCGGCUUAACCGCAGGGCUGCCUUCUAAACUGUCGGGCUCGAGCACGGUAGAGGCAGAUGGAAUUCCCGGUGUAGCGGUGGAAUGCGUAGAGAUCGGGAAGAACAUCAGUGGCGAAGGCGGUCUGCUGGGCCGUUGCUGACGCUGA
rnacentral:rRNA from 1 species